UCAAAAAAACCCUAGGAGCAAAAAUCAAACCAUCCGCCCCCCAUGUUCUAUGUUUUCUUAUGGUCACUCUCCUCAUUCUUUUUCUGUUCUCAAACUCACAAUACUCUCCCUUCCCCAACAAAAACAACAACGAACAAAAAAAACCUUCUCACUCAAAUCUCUCGCAGCUUACCUUCAACUCUUCGUCUCUGUUCUUCCGAUUUUAAACUAACACUCACCAAUUCACCCAGCCCAAAUGAAAGACUCAAACAUGGCAUAACAACAAAAUCAUAUCAAUCGCUUAAUCACAAAGAUUGUUCAUGAGAAACAAUGAAUCCUAAACUCCACAUACAGUUCAUAAAAAUCAUAAGAUGAACAUAACUCACAACCCGGAUUAGGGAGGAUUGCUUCCCCGACAAUAAAUCCGGUGACGACACUCCAGUGUUCAUGGUGGAAAUAAGUUGUUGCGUUGAAAUAAGUUCCAGGUUCUGCUUCUGUUGAUUGUGUUGGCUCCGUUUUGUUCGGUUCUGAAAUGGUGAGAGGUAUUGUGUUACAGUGUACUUUUAUCUGAGUACUUCCAUCCACAUCUGCUUGGAUAUGAUACUUAAUUUUCCAAAGUUCACUUCUUAAUGGUGUAAUUCAAUGGUUGGUUAGUUACUCUUUUGGUAAAUGCUUUGAUUUUGCAAAUAAGGUGUUUGUUGAAAUGUCACCAUGAGUUUUGUAGUGUUUCUAAUGAUAUGUAACAUGUCACCAUAAGUGUUUUUUGAAAUGUCACCAUGAGUUUUGUAGUGUUUCUAAUGAUAUUUAACAUGUCACCAUGAGUUUUGCUGGAACAUGGGUUUUGAGUUUAACAUGUUUCUUAUGAUAUUAACAUGCUUACAAAUAGUGGUUGCCAUAUCUAUCUUGCUUACAUCGAUAAUAACACGCCGACUAAACUUAUUCUUAGUAAACAUAGAUAUUGAAAUAAGAACACGCCGUCGCUGCGAAGCCCUUGUUUACGUCGAUUUUGGGUCUUUGAUCAUAUCAGUACUUAGGCAAAGGUAAGUUAUUCAAUUUGGACAAAAAACCAGCUUCUGUUCAUGUCUGAUUCCUAUUAGAGACAUUUAUGUCGAGACGAAAGCAGGAAUGAUGUUAUGAAUCAAGACUGGCUCUGCCGUCAAACCACGUGUAAGUCAUUCUACCAGUGCAGCCUGUGAAAUGAAUGACUAGUUGUUCAGUUUUUGAGGUGAUCCGCAAAGUGCAGAAUAAAUCUUCUAAAGCCGAGAUGUGAACCACAAUGCCGACGCCGCCAAUUAAAGAUAAGUAAUGCUUACCGGUUUACUUACCGAUUACUACUGAUUAUCAUCACUCGAUUAAGUGCAUAUAUGUUGAUUCGUGAAAAUAUGCUAUUGAUUAUUAACUGCUGGCGCAUUGUGUCUUCUGUAUGUGUGAUAUACUGUGAUGUUCAUAUAAUUGUUCAUAGCCCUUAGUACUUCCUUAUACUAGUACUCGUCAAAGCAUUUAGAAUUGAUAUAUUUUUAUAACAUUAGGGAGCUAGCAUAUAUCUAUAGUAUGCACAUGCCUAUUUAUAUCUUGAAUAUGGAUCAGGAAACGUUCCUUUUUGACACAUUGCCUUUGUCUUAGAAGAAACUAGUAAAAUAUAUCAUAUAAAUGAUAAUACAUAAUCAAAGUGAUUAAUCUACUCACUAGACAUUUUAAGCUUUACAAUUUUGUCUCACUCUAAUCAAACAGUGGUACUAUUUGCUCUGUUAAAUUAAGCUGUAUCUAUUAUUAAUCCAUGUUGUUUCAGAUGUACACUAUUUGGUAAACCAGAUACUGCAAUUCCGAGUCACAAUGCCUAAACAAUGUCGACAUCUUAUAAUCUAGCACAAUCCGAUUGCGUCAUGAUCAAUACUGGGUUGUUACAAACUGCUGCCAAGCUCUUCCUUGUCUAUAUGGAUAUUUUUACGAGGUACCUUCGUUGGUCACGAAAUGGUCGACGAAGGCAAGGAAAGUAAAAUCGAUGGUUCAAUGGAAUGCAAGAGGUCAACCAAUCAAGCAUAAUAGAAAGACUUUUGCUAGUUUCGUUGGUGUCACGGUUCGUCGGUUAGUUCGAAUAAGCUUAGACAAUUGGAGUGUGAAAAAAAUAAAGAGGUUGUAUUUGUGGGUUCAGCACUUUUGGUUCGUGAAGCGUGUUUACUACUUGGUGUUGAUGGAUCAUAAUGCAAUGAGUAACUUAAAGCGUUAUUUGGUAUUGAAUUGAAUGUACCUUUUUGAUA